AACGCGAAGAACCUUACCAGGUCUUGACAUCCUCUUGAAUACUUUAGAGAUAGAGUAGGCCUUCGGGACAAGAGAGACAGGUGGUGCAUGGUUGUCGUCAGCUCGUGUCGUGAGAUGUUGGGUUAAGUCCCGCAACGAGCGCAACCCUUGAUCUUAGUUGCCAGCAUUGAGUUGGGCACUCUAAGGUGACUGCCGGUGACAAACCGGAGGAAGGUGGGGAUGACGUCAAAUCAUCAUGCCCCUUAUGACCUGGGCUACACACGUACUACAAUGGCCGGUACAACGGGGUGCAAUGCCGCGAGGCGGAGCGAAUCCUUAAAAGCCGGUCUCAGUUCGGAUUGCAGGCUGCAACUCGCCUGCAUGAAGUCGGAAUUGCUAGUAAUCGCGGAUCAGCAUGCCGCGGUGAAUACGUUCCCGGGCCUUGUA
rnacentral:rRNA from 1 species